CACGUAAGCCCCGAGCGUUGUUCGGAAUUAUUGGGCGUAAAGGGCGCGCAGGCGGCCCUGCAAGUCUGGAGUGAAAUCCCCGGGCCCAACCCGGGAACCGCUUUGGAAACUGCGGGGCUGGAGUCGCCGAAGGGAAGCCGGAAUUCCUGGUGUAGGGGUGUAAUCUGUAGAUAUCACGAAGAACACCGAUGGCGAAGGCAGGCUUCCGGCGGACGACUGACGCUGAGGCGCGAAGGCGCGGGGAGCAACC
rnacentral:rRNA from 1 species